ensembl:lincRNA Gm11419 predicted gene 11419
GGAACACUCAGGAGAUGGCACCCCACUGGAGGAAGUGUUGAAGUUACCAAGUAAAUACCUGUUGCUUACACUGCUGCCCCCACUUUCAGGGUGAGCCCCCUACAACCCUGGUUAGGGAUAAAGCUCUGCAGAGCUAUCUAUCUUAGCCUCUGCACUUACCUAGCCCAUCUGGUACCUCAAGAUCUCUCCAAGCAAGGAUUCAAUGAAACUGAUGAAGCUCCUGGGUUGCCAUGGAGAUGCAAGGAUACAUCUAACUGGAAACCAGGAGCCAAGCUGGAGACUUUGCUCUACAAUCAUUUCCUCCCCGGCUCAUUUUCUAAUCCAAACAUUUGAGGAUGAGGUAUCUGGGUCCUUAUUUAAGCCAUCAACUGGAAAGCAGUCAUCGUCCCUGACACCUCAGCAAAGCACAGAGAUUUCCGCAGCCAUAAUAAAGGUCAGGAGAGGAAGAGACAGAGUUAUCUAAAUCCUCAGCUAUAUCCAGGUUCAUGAAGAAUGGCAGAUUGAGUCUUGAGAAGCCAGUGGAGAACAAGAUGAAGGCAACACGUGUGCUAUUAUUUCUUCUUUCCUCUAUCCCUCUUCCUUUCCCGUUACAACAACAACAGUAAUCACAGCAAGUAAAAACAGCAAGCCUGUGACCCCUCUGAACCGAUGGUAUCCAUCCCUCAACAGACGCUCCUCCCAC